UUAACACAUGCAAGUCGAACGGAAAGGCCCUGCUUUUGUGGGGUGCUCGAGUGGCGAACGGGUGAGUAACACGUGAGUAACCUGCCCUUGACCUUGGGAUAACUUCAGGAAACUGGGGCUAAUACCGGAUAGGAGCUCCUGCUGCAUGGUGGGGGUUGGAAAGUUUCGGCGGUUGGGGAUGGACUCGCGGCUUAUCAGCUUGUUGGUGGGGUAGUGGCUUACCAAGGCUUUGACGGGUAGCCGGCCUGAGAGGGUGACCGGCCACAUUGGGACUGAGAUACGGCCCAGACUCCUACGGGAGGCAGCAGUGGGGAAUAUUGCACAAUGGGCGGAAGCCUGAUGCAGCAACGCCGCGUGCGGGAUGGCGGCCUUCGGGUUGUAAACCGCUUUCGCCUGUGACGAAGCGUGAGUGACGGUAAUGGGUAAAGAAGCACCGGCUAACUACGUGCCAGCAGCCGCGGUGAUACGUAGGGUGCGAGCGUUGUCCGGAUUUAUUGGGCGUAAAGGGCUCGUAGGUGGUUGAUCGCGUCGGAAGUGUAAUCUUGGGGCUUAACCCUGAGCGUGCUUUCGAUACGGGUUGACUUGAGGAAGGUAGGGGAGAAUGGAAUUCCUGGUGGAGCGGUGGAAUGCGCAGAUAUCAGGAGGAACACCAGUGGCGAAGGCGGUUCUCUGGGCCUUUCCUGACGCUGAGGAGCGAAAGCGUGGGGAGCGAACAGGCUUAGAUACCCUGGUAGUCCACGCUGUAAACGGUGGGUACUAGGUGUGGGGUCCAUUCCACGGGUUCCGUGCCGUAGCUAACGCUUUAAGUACCCCGCCUGGGGAGUACGGCCGCAAGGCUAAAACUCAAAGGAAUUGACGGGGCCCCGCACAAGCGGCGGAGCAUGCGGAUUAAUUCGAUGCAACGCGUAGAACCUUACCUGGGUUUGACAUGGAUCGGGAGUGCUCAGAGAUGGGUGUGCCUCUUUUGGGGUCGGUUCACAGGUGGUGCAUGCCUGUCGUCAGCUCGUGUCGUGAGAUGUUGGGUUAAGUCCCGCAACGAGCGCAACCCUUGUUCACUGUUGCCAGCACGUUAUGGUGGGGACUCAGUGGAGACCGCCGGGGUCAACUCGGAGGAAGGUGGGGAUGACGUCAAGUCCUCAUGCCCCUUAUGUCCAGGGCUUCACGCAUGCUACAAUGGCUGGUACAGAGAGUGGCGAGCCUGUGAGGGUGAGCGAAUCUCGGAAAGCCGGUCUCAGUUCGGAUUGGGGUCUGCAACUCGACCUCAUGAAGUCGGAGUCGCUAGUAAUCGCAGAUCAGCAACGCUGCGGUGAAUACGUUCCCGGGGCUUGUACACACCGCCCGUCAAGUCAUGAAAGUUGGUAACACCCGAAGCCGGUGGCCUAACCGUUGUGGGGGAGCCGUCGAAGGUGGGACUGGUGAUUAGGACUAAGUC
rnacentral:rRNA from 1 species